UUGUCCUUUUUAAUUUUUGUGUUUGUUAUUUAAAAAAUAAUAAAUAAGCAAUUUUUCACUGCCUAUUAUAAGAAUUGAAUUUUAGAAUAUUAUAUUUAUUGUUAUGUCUUUAAAGUAAUUUUAUAAUAUUUCAAUGGCGAAAAGUGAAAAUUUAGAAGUAUACGAUAGUUGUUGUCGAACAUGUUUAUGUAAAAAAACGGAUCUUAUGAUAAAUAUGUUUAAUUCGGAUAAUUCAAUAAAUUUAGUGAACAUAUUGCACUCGUGUACUACGAUAAAUGUCAAAGAAGAUGAUGCCUUACCAAAAAAUAUAUGUGAGCAAUGUUACAAUUGCCUUAUUUCAUUUCACGAGUUUAGAAAGCUAGCAGUUAAUGUUGACAUGCAGCUAAAAGACAUUUACGACAAUAACAUAAAAACCAGCCCCGAUGAAUGCAUACAAAAUAAUAUUAGAAUAAAAAGUGAAGAUUCAACAGAUUCUGAGUUGAACAUAAAAUUUAAAACAGAUCUGAAACAAGAAAAUAUUGAUAGUUUUAGUGAAACAAAUGUUAAAUCACAUGUAAAUGAAUGUAAGCUUUGUAAGCAGACAUUUAGAAAUCAAUUGAAUUUAGAACAGCACACAUUGUUACAUAAGUAUAAGAAUUUAACUGAACUAGACAAAAAGACAACUAACAAUGAAAAUAUUAAUGAAACAAAUGAGGUAGACGAAAAAUUUGUAUGCAACUUAUGUUCUAUAACAUUUAAAUCCCUAAAUUCUCUAUCUGCCCACAAAAGAAAACACAUACAGAAGGACAGGAUACUGUCUUGUUCCGUCUGUAGCAAAGUAUUCAAGAAAAUCAGUCAUUUGAAACGUCAUGAACUUACGCAUGCCUCAAAUCAUCAUUACAAAUGUUCCCUUUGUUCGAAAACAUUUGCUUUAGAAAGUAGGUACAUGGAACAUGUAAAUAAACAUAAUGGGAUAAAAUCACAUUCAUGCUUGCUAUGUCAGAAGUCCUUUUUCCACUUGUCAACACUCAACGCUCAUAUGAGUGUACAUACAAAGAAAAGGCCAUACCUUUGUCCCACUUGUGGGAAAAGCUUUCAUUCAAGUACGAAUUUGAAUCAGCACACAAAGAGGCACGCUGGAUUGAAGUCAUUUCUUUGUACCUUGUGCCCUAAACAGUUUUUUAGCAAAGGUGAAUUGAAUUCUCACUUUCAAACACAUGCAGGAGAGCCAGCAUGUGCAUGCGAUCAGUGUGGUGUCACUUUUACAAGACGCAGUUCGCUGAAGAAGCACAAAUUAAGGCACUUGGGUAUUAAACCACACCAAUGUGGUAUUUGCCCUAUGAAGUUCACAAGCAAAGACCACCUCACGCGUCACCACCGCAUACACACGGGGGAGAAACCGUACCGAUGCGAGAUAUGCAGCAAAGCCUACACGCAGAGCAAUGAUCUUGUGAAACAUAGACGCGUGCAUCUCGGUGAUAAGUUGUAUAAGUGCUCGCAAUGUUCAGAGAGUUUUCGUUUGAAGACAGAACUUCGCCAGCAUAUAUCCCAACAUUAUAUUUCACCGCAGUUCAAAAUAAUCGACUCUUCAACUAAAUAAUAAUUUUCUACGGAAAAUGUCACCUAGGAUGCUGGGCCUCCCCCCACCACCUGCCUCUACUCACUCCAGAUUCUAAAAUGAGAUGAAAUGCCAACAAAUUUUUAUCAAAUAAUUAGAAUCAUGUCGGACGAUUGAAAACGCAGGGAUGCAGUGAAAUAAAAAUACUGUAAUACAGAAGAAUAUGGAGAAGAACAUAAUGAUUGGUUACUAGAUAUACGCAUUGUUAGAUUUUUAUCGGAAUUAAAUCUCGAUUUUUAAACUAUCCUACCAUACACAAAUCGCAACACACGAAAAUUCGUUCAGUCGAUCUUAAGUUUUUAAAAAUUAAAUUCGCAUUUCUUUUAUAUAUAUAUAUAUAUAUUACUAUAGCAUAAUAUAUAAACUGAAGUAAAACUUCAAGAUACCAAAAAAGUGAAUCGGCUGAAAUUAUACAAGUAUGUAUGUACAAAAUAGUUAUAUUUCAAUGUUCUUAAGACAUAUACAGUAAAAAAAUUGUUAAGUAUCGGAAUUGUUAUAUAAAAAAUAUAAACAUUUUUGAAAAAGAAUAAAGCUUUAAUUAGUGAGAGAGGGCACAAUAAAUAUUUUGUUUUAAA
rnacentral:misc_RNA from 1 species